AGCGAACGUUUGCGGCGGGCUUAACACAUGCAAGUCGAACGGGCUGUUCCUUCGGGGGCAGUCAGUGGCGCACGGGUGCGUAACACGUAGGUAAUCAACCCUCUGGUUGGGGAUAACACUUCGAAAGGAGUGCUAAUACCCGGUAUGGCGCAGCGGUCUUCGGAUCGCGGCGAGAAAGACCCGCAAGGGUUGCCAGAGGACGAGCCUGCGGCCCAUCAGCUAGUUGGCGAGGUAACGGCUCACCGAGGCGAAGACGGGUAGCUGGUCUGAGAGGAUGAUCAGCCACACUGGAACUGAGACACGGUCCAGACUCCUACGGGAGGCAGCAGUGGGGAAUAUUGCGCAAUGGGCGAAAGCCUGACGCAGCCACGCCGCGUGAGCGAUGAAGGCCUU
rnacentral:rRNA from 1 species